rnacentral:misc_RNA from 1 species
AAGUCGUAACAAGGUUUCCGUAGGUGAACCUGCGGAAGGAUCAUUAGUGAAUAUUAGGGUAUUUUUUUAAUCGAAAAACCUGACCUCCACUUUCCAACUCUUGUGCAUAUUAUAAGGAAUCGCUUUAUUGAUUAGCUCUUUGGAGUGAAAAAUUAGUGUUUUCUUAGCCCUUUCUUAUCACAAACAUAAGUAUUAAGUAUGUAACCAAAAUUAUAAUAAAAAAAACUUUCAACAACGGAUCUCUUGGCUCUC